rnacentral:lncRNA from 1 species
UUCAACAUGACUUUUUUUUCUUUUCUGCAAUGAUGAGAACUUCAACGUGAUUCGGUUUUAUUCAGAGAAAUUUAACAGGAAGCUCUCGCUAAAUUCACACACACAAGUACUCCGUAUUACUCCCUCCGUAAAUUAAUAUAAAAGCGUUUAGAUCAUUAAAGUAGUGAUCUAAACGCUCUUAUAUUAGUUUAGAGAGGGAGUACAUAAUACGUACUGUACUUGACACAAGACAUCAAACGACGGACAUCAGGUUUUCCACGAGAAACAACACGAAACUACAGAUCUUCCGCCUGCCCCAAGAGUUCGGAUUUCGCCGACCUGAGUUCACGGAGAAAAUCCAAG